AUUGAACGCUGGCGGCAGGCCUAACACAUGCAAGUCGAGCGGAUGAAGGGAGCUUGCUCCUGGAUUCAGCGGCGGACGGGUGAGUAAUGCCUAGGAAUCUGCCUGGUAGUGGGGGAUAACGUCCGGAAACGGGCGCUAAUACCGCAUACGUCCUGAGGGAGAAAGUGGGGGAGCUUCGGACCUCACGCUAUCAGAUGAGCCCAGGUCGGUUUAGAUAGUUGGUGGGGUAAAGGCCUACCAAGGCGACGAUCCGUAACUGGUCUGAGAGGAUGAUCAGUCACACUGGAACUGAGACACGGUCCAGACUCCUACGGGAGGCAGCAGUGGGGAAUAUUGGACAAUGGGCGAAAACCUGAUCCAGCCAUGCCGCGUGUGUGACGAAGGUCUUCGGAUUGUAAAGCACUUUAAGUUGGGAGGAAGGGCAGUAAGUUAAUACCUUGCUGUUUUGACGUUACCAACAGAAUAAGCACCGGCUAACUUCGUG
rnacentral:rRNA from 1 species